rnacentral:rRNA from 1 species
AUACGUAGCGGGCGAGCGUUGUCCGGAAUGAUUGGGCGUAAAGGGCGCGUAGGCGGCGCGGUAAGUCUGGAGUGAAAGUCCUGCUUUCAAGGUGGGAAUUGCUUUGGAUACUGCCGCGCUUGAGUGCAGGAGAGGUUAUCGGAAUUCCCGGUGUAGCGGUGAAAUGCGUAGAGAUCGGGAGGAACACCAGUGGCGAAGGCGGGUAACUGGACUGCAACUGACGCUGAGGCGCGAAAGUGUGGGGAGCAAACAGGAUUAGAUACCCUGGUAGUCCACACUGUAAACGAUGAAUGCUAGGUGUAGGAGGUAUCGACCCCUUUUGUGCCGGAGUCAACACAAUAAGCAUUCCGCCUGGGGAGUACGGCCGCAAGGUUGAAACUUAAAGGAAUUGACGGGG